UACGUAGGCAGCAAGCGUUGUUCGGAGUUACUGGGCGUAAAGGGCGCGUAGGCGGCCCGCUAAGUCGAACGUGAAAUCCCCAGGCUCAACCUGGGAACUGCGUCCGAUACUGGCAGGCUUGAAUCCGGGAGAGGGAUGUGGAAUUCCAGGUGUAGCGGUGAAAUGCGUAGAUAUCUGGAGGAACACCGGUGGCGAAGGCGGCAUCCUGGACCGGUAUUGACGCUGAGGCGCGAAAGCUAGGGGAGCAAACGGG
rnacentral:rRNA from 1 species